rnacentral:sRNA from 1 species
GAGCUUCGUGAGUUCACCUACCUGUUA